GUCUAGAUGACAGUGCACGAACCAUACACCAGGAUUAUUGGCUCUGAAUCUGAUGACUGCCCAGCCUCCUACAGGGACUCCAAUGGUGUUACGUACUUGUGGGUUGACAAGAUUGAACUUUUUAGGGUCGUUUACAUGAUCAUAGUUUCCAAAUCCUUGAGCCAAUACAUGGAAAUUGAAACCAUGAAUGUGAAUGGGAUGAUUUUCCACACCGAUCAAGGCCGUGUUCUGUAACACAAUCUGCACCGUCGAAUUGUACUUCAAUACCUUUACACUAGUUGAUUUGGGUGUAAAGAGCAACGAUGUGUCGUUGCUGAUAUUGGAGUUUG
rnacentral:misc_RNA from 1 species